CGAGUAACUGCCUAAAUCUCGCGGGCUCGCUGCGUCCUGUUUUCUUGGCCCUGGCUUGACUGCUGUGAAACUGGACAAAAAAUGAUUACUAUAGUAGCACAAACCCAUGACUGUCACCGAGGGAGGCAGGAAUGCCUCAGAGAACACUUCGGGCUGACAGAAGAAAUCUUGAAGAUUCCCUCCCAACCAGAAUUAGAAGCAUGUUCUAAGCUUCAAGUCCCAGAUGGUCCCUUUUUCUCAGUCCUUUGCUUACCUCAUACUUCAUUAUUGAGAUAAUCACUCUUGAGCUGAUGAUACUUAGAAGAGAUUUUGGACUUUUAACUGAUGCUAUGAAAGAAAAAGACCUUUGUAAACUUUUGGAGUGGGAACAUGUAUUUUACAUGUGGGACAGCUGUGGACAUCGGGACCAGUCAAAAUUAUACUUGAGUGACUUGCAAUCUCAUACAAUUAUCUCCUCUUCAAGUGUGAGUGAAACCUGUGAAUAAUGAUAUCACUCCUGUGUCUAUGUUGUGUUAUAUAUCCUCCUUAUAAACCUUCUCAUCUUAUGGUUAAGAUUUAUUGAGAGACACAGUCAUAGAUUUGUUCUUUAUUAUAGCACCCAAUCUAGA